rnacentral:rRNA from 1 species
UACAGAGGUGGCAAGCGUUGUUCGGAAUUACUGGGCGUAAAGCGUGCGCAGGCGGUCUGUUAAGACCGAUGUGAAAUCCCCGGGCUCAACCUGGGAACUGCAUCUGUGACUGCAUCGCUGGAGUGCGGCAGAGGGGGAUGGAAUUCCGCGUGUAGCAGUGAAAUGCGUAGAUAUGCGGAGGAACACCGAUGGCGAAGGCAGCCCCCUGGGUCAAGACUGACGCUCAUGCACGAAAGCGUGGGGAGCAAACAGG